CCUACGGGAGGCAGCAGUGAGGAAUAUUGGUCAAUGGACGAGAGUCUGAACCAGCCAAGUAGCGUGAAGGAUGACUGCCCUAUGGGUUGUAAACUUCUUUUAUAUGGGAAUAAAAUGUUCCACGUGUGGGUUUUUGUAUGUACCAUAUGAAUAAGGAUCGGCUAACUCCGUGCCAGCAGCCGAGGUAAUACGGAGGAUCCGAGCGUUAUCUGGAUUUAUUGGGUUUAAAGGGAGCGUAGGUGGAUUGUUAAGUCAGUUGUGAAAGUUUGGGGCUUAACCGUAAAAUUGCAGUUGAAACUGGCAGUCUUGAGUACAGUAGAGGUGGGCGGAAUUCGUGGUGUAGCGGUGAAAUGCUUAGAUAUCACGAAGAACUCCGAUUGCGAAGGCAGCUCACUGGACUGCAACUGACACUGAGGCGCGAAAGUGUGGGUAUCAAACAGGAUUAGAUACCCCAGUAGUC
rnacentral:rRNA from 1 species